UUAACGGUGGCGGCUGGUUCUGCGCCGGAUGCGGGAGAGGGGCGGGCGCCAUUGUGCUUCGCUGCGGACUGCUUUUCCACAGUCACGGGCCUAGAACUCCGAGGAGGAAGGCGACGGUGCGGGUCGCUGCGAGCGGAACGCGCCCUGGUCAGUGCUGGCUCAGGAGCAGGGAAAAAUCUUUAAGAAUGGAGUCUAAACCUUCAAGGAUUCCAAGAAGAAUUUCUGUUCAACCCUCCAGCUCCUUAAGUGCUAGGAUGAUGUCUGGAAGCAGAGGAAGUAGUUUAAAUGAUACCUAUCACUCAAGAGACUCUUCAUUUAGAUUGGAUUCUGAAUAUCAGUCUACAUCAGCAUCAGCAUCUGCAUCACCAUUUCAAUCUACAUGGUAUAGUGAAUCUGAGAUAACUCAGGGAGCACGCUCAAGAUCGCAGAACCAGCAACGGGAUCAUGAUUCAAAAAGACCUAAACUUUCUUGUACAAAUUGUACUACCUCAGCUGGGAGAAAUGUUGGAAAUGGUUUAAAUGCGGUAUCAGAUUCAUCUCGGAGGCAUAAUCAAGUUCCUAGAUCUUCAUCAGUGGUACUUGGAUCAUUUGGAACAGACUUAAUGAGAGAGAGGAGAGAUUUGGAGAGAAGAACAGAUUCUUCUAUUAGUAAUCUUAUGGAUUAUAGUCACCGAAGUGGUGAUUUCACAACUUCAUCAUACGUUCAAGACCGAGUUCCUUCAUAUUCACAAGGAGCAAGACCAAAAGAAAAUUCAGUGAGCACUUUACAGUUGAAUACAUCAUCCACAAACCACCAGUUGCCUUCUGAACAUCAGACCAUACUAAGUUCUAGGGACUCCAGAAAUUCCUUAAGAUCAAAUUUUUCUUCACGAGAAUCAGAAUCUUCCCGAAACAAUACACAACCUGGAUUUUCUUAUAUUUCAAGUAGAGAUGAAACCCCAAACAUUAGCAAUCCAGAAAGGGUUGUUUCAUCUCAAAGACCAUUUCAAGAAUCUUCUGACAAUGAAGGUAGGCGGACAACCAGGAGAUUGCUGUCACGCAUAGCUUCUAGCAUGUCAUCUACUUUUUUUUCACGAAGAUCUAGUCAGGAUUCUUUGAAUACAAGAUCAUUGAGUUCUGAAAAUUCUUAUGUUUCUCCAAGAAUCUUGACAGCUUCACAGUCCCGUAGUAAUGUACCGUCGACUUCUGAAGUUCCCGAUAAUAGGGCAUCUGAAGCUUCUCAGGGAUUUCGAUUUCUUAGGCGAAGAUGGGGUUUGUCAUCUCUUAGCCACAAUCAUAGCUCUGAGUCAGAUUCAGAAAAUUUUAAUCAAGAAUCUGAAGGUAGAAAUACAGGACCAUGGUUAUCUUCCUCACUUAGAAAUAGAUGCACACCUUUGUUCUCUAGAAGGAGGCGAGAGGGAAGAGAUGAAUCUUCAAGGAUACCUACCUCUGAUACACCAUCUAGAGCUCAUAUUUUUAGAAGAGAAUCAAAUGAAGUGGUUCACCUUGAAGCACACAGUGAUCCCCUUGGAGCUGCUGCCAACAGACCGCAAGCAUCUGCGUCAAGCAGUGCCACAGCAGGUGGCUCUACAUCAGAUUCGACUCAAGGUGGAAGAAAUACAGGAAUAGCAGGGAUUCUUCCUGGUUCCUUAUUCCGGUUUGCAGUCCCCCCAGCACUUGGGAGUAAUUUGACCGACAAUGUCAUGAUCACUGUAGAUAUUAUUCCUUCAGGUUGGAAUUCAGCUGAUGGUAAAAGUGAUAAAACUAAAAAUGCACCUUCAAGAGAUCCAGAAAGAUUGCAGAAAAUAAAAGAGAGCCUCCUUUUAGAGGACUCAGAAGAAGAAGAAGGUGACUUAUGUAGAAUUUGUCAAAUGGCAGCUGCAUCAUCAUCUAAUUUGCUGAUAGAGCCAUGCAAGUGCACAGGAAGUUUGCAGUAUGUCCACCAAGAGUGUAUGAAAAAGUGGUUACAGGCCAAAAUUAACUCUGGUUCUUCAUUAGAAGCUGUAACCACCUGUGAACUAUGUAAAGAGAAGUUGGAGCUUAACCUGGAGGAUUUUGAUAUCCAUGAACUACAUAGAGCUCAUGCAAAUGAACAAGUUAGUAUAUUUUGCCUAAUUUGGCUGAGUAUGAGUUUAUCAGCUCUGGUCUCUACCUAGUGGUGUUAUUGCACUUGUGCGAACAAAGCUUUUCUGAUAUGAUGGGAAAUACAAAUGAACCAAGCACACGUGUCCGAUUUAUUAACCUUGCAAGAACUCUUCAGGCACAUAUGGAAGAUCUCGAAACUUCAGAGGAUGAUUCCGAAGAAGAUGGAGACCAUAACAGGACAUUUGAUAUUGCCUAACUUCAUAUAAGACAGAUGGAUGAUCUGUGAACACAAGUGUUUAUUAAAACUGGCAAUUAAAUAUAAAUUAAUUUUGUGGGGGAAUGCCUAAUAAAUACAUUGACUAUAUAUAAAAUGAAUAUAUACAUACACAUGUAUGCCUGUAUAUAUAUAUUCAUUCUCAAGUGUUGCUGAAUUAAAAUUCUGCUGGACUUUUUUAACACAGCAAAUCUGAUGUUUAUAAACUGGUAAUCAAAAAGGUUUUUUUCUUUUAGGUGAGUGGGAAAGUAUUACCCUUGUUUUAAAUAUCUAAGCAAUGCCCAUCAACCCUCUUCUGUGUUCUGAUUACUAUAGUCAUAUUUAUGAAAAAAAGGUUUGUGUUUUAGUCUCUUGCUAGUGAGAAAAGUGGGACAAAAUAUGCGUUUGAAAUUAAAUCCAUAUGGCACCUAAUUAUUUUUCUUUUAAAAUGCCUUAAGUUGCAGUCUCAUUUUGAUAAUCAUUUGCUUCCAGUGUUUAAAAACAAAAACUAAAAAAAUGGGAGAUGGUUCUGAGAAGAGCAUUAUAUUAGGUUUCCAAAUUUAAUUUGAAUUCCAAAUUCACUUAGCAAUAAAAUCUAAUUUUUAAAAAAGUAUAUAAAUAUCAAAUGCAUAAAUGAUGGAUGCAUUUUUGUAUUGAUUUGCAAAAUGCAGAUUAUAUUUGAUAGGCUAUAGUAUGUAGAUAUUCCUUUUAGGAAUAUUACAGCUGUAAAUUAUAUGAGAAUUGCCAGUCAAAUGCUAUUUGGUUUUAAAAAAAAUAUUGCAAUCUCAAGUUAAUGGAAUAUUUUUAAAUCCCACAUUCAGAGUUUAAAACACUGGUUUUCAAUGUGUUUUUUAGUGUUGUCACUUCUUUAUAGAUAAAUAUGAUAUAAAUAACCUGUUUGGAUUCUGGUCGUUUUUAACUGUUACUUGGUAAUUCUGAGCAUUUAUUUGAUGACUUAGUAUUUUUCACUACCUUUGGAUGGCAGAUGAACGUUAUUCACCAUGAAUGGAUCUACACUGUGGUCAUGAGUUGUGUAUACUUACAUAACACUGUAUUUUUUCUUCUGUCAAUACCCUUUAGAUACACUUUAAAACACCUUAAGGUCUGAUGUUAUUGCAACAAACUACUUUUUCAAACCUAAAUAGGAACCAUGUAAUUUCUGAAAAGUGAAUGACAAUUUGCCCACACUUAAGUUUGUUGGUUUUAUGUAAAACAUUGGCUCGAAAUAAAGUGCACACUGAUUUA